GGAUGGCUCAAUGGUUAAGAGCACUGACUGUUCUUCCAGAGGUCCUGAGUUCAAUUCCCAGCAUCCA
rnacentral:tRNA from 1 species